rnacentral:rRNA from 1 species
AUUGAACGCUGGCGGAAUGCUUUACACAUGCAAGUCGAACGGCAGCACGGACUUCGGUCUGGUGGCGAGUGGCGAACGGGUGAGUAAUGUAUCGGAACGUGCCCAGUCGUGGGGGAUAACGUAGUGAAAAUUACGCUAAUACCGCAUACGAUCUAUGGAUGAAAGCGGGGGAUCGCAAGACCUCGCGCGAUUGGAGCGGCCGAUAUCAGAUUAGGUAGUUGGUGGGGUAAAGGCCCACCAAGCCAACGAUCUGUAGCUGGUCUGAGAGGACGACCAGCCACACAGGAACUGAGACACGGGCCAGACUCCUACUGGAGGCAGCAGUGGGGAAUUUUGGACAAUGGGCGAAAGCCUGAUCCAGCCAUUCCGCGUGCAGGAUGAAGGCCCUCGGGUUGUAAACUGCUUUUGUACAGAACGAAAAGGUUUCUACUAAUACUAGGAGCUCAUGACGGUACUGUAAGAAUAAGCACCGGCUAACUACGUGCCAGCCGCCGCGGUAA